GGGUCCGCACAAGCGGUGGAGCAUGUGGUUCAAUUCGACGCAACGCGAAGAACCUUACCUGGGCUCGAAAUGUAGUGGACCGGGGUAGAAAUAUCCCUUUUCGCAAGAACUGCUAUAUAGGUGCUGCAUGGCUGUCGUCAGCUCGUGUCGUGAGAUGUUGGGUUAAGUCCCGCAACGAGCGCAACCCUUAUCGUUAGUUGCCAGCGGGUUAUGCCGGGCACUCUAGCGAAACCGCCUCGGAUAACGGGGAGGAAGGUGGGGAUGACGUCAAGUCCUCAUGGCCUUUAUGUCCAGGGCUACACACGUGCUACAAUGGCCGGUACAAACCGUCGCAAACCCGCGAGGGGGAGCUAAUCGGAAAAAGCCGGCCUCAGUUCGGAUUGGAGUCUGCAACUCGACUCCAUGAAGCUGGAAUCGCUAGUAAUCGCGGAUCAGAACGCCGCGGUGAAUACGUUCCCGGGCCUUGUACACACCGCCCGUCACAUCACGAAAGUGGACUGCACUAGAAGCCGGUGUGCUAACCGCAAGGAGGCAGCCGUCCAAGGUAUGGUUCAUGAUUGGGGUG
rnacentral:rRNA from 1 species